UUAUUGCAUCCAAAGAUCAACUGAACCUAGAACAUAGAUACAGAGACACUUGUCAUCAGGAAGGUGCUCUCUCAGCACAACGGAAAAUAUCUCAAUGACUUGACAUGUUCUGGUUGUGAAUUCAGGCUACAAGGGGUCAGUGCUCUAAAAUGAGUCUCUCUGGGGAGAGAGAGGAGGGGGGCCCUGCCUCUAAAAUGAGUCUCACUGGGGAGAGAGAGGAGGGGGGCCCUGCCUCUAAAAUGAGUCUCUCUGGGGAGAGAGAGGAGGGGGGCCCUGCCUCUAAAAUGAGUCUCUCUGGGGAGAGAGAGGAGGGGGCCCCUGCCUCUAAAAUGCAUCUCUCUGGGGGACAUGACACCAAAGCUAAGAGACCAAUCCAGCAGGAGAGACCAGCCUCCCCUGUUCCCAGCUGUGUGUCCAUGAAGAGUGACCAGUCUAUAAUUCUACCUAUAGAGUUUAGAGAGGGAGACUUUUCUACUGAACAAAG